rnacentral:misc_RNA from 1 species
AGAGAUCGGAAGGUUCUCUCUAACGAGCCUUCAUUUCACAUUCCAAAAAGGUAACAAAGGGAAAGGCCGUAAAACUAACAAACAAGCCCCAAUCCAACAAUUUCCUGUUAGAUUUCCCUAUGAAUCGCUGUGUACUCGAUCCUAGACUUGGGACAGUAACAAAUGCACAGAUGGGGCACAAACAGAAUAGAAGGCUAUAGCAGCCCUACCCAAGAAGUACAAUGAAUGAUUCUAUCUUACGUAGUUUCCUCUUGCCAUUCGAUUAAACUAUAGGCAUAGCUUAAUUAUAGAUGUAUCAUAAAUGACUUUUCUAGUAAAUGUUCAAUAUGUGCAGUAAUGAAGCCUUUGUUCUGUUACAAGCUAAGCCAGUGGAAGCUCCACUGAACCAGCUUUCUCCCUCUCAUCCACUUGUAUAUUCAUUAUGUUAAUACUCAAUAGAGACUCUCAAACUAUUAA